rnacentral:lncRNA from 1 species
UCUUCGACCAUGACUUAAUCACUCUCCCACUUAUUCAAAAACGCAGCUAACCGCAUAAGAUAGAUAUCUUCCCAUCUGCACAUCAAGUUCUAGCCCAAAGAAACAAUAAAAACAGGCCUUUGGGGACACUUGAAACAAAGUCUAUUCAAUCACUUACCAAGGAUGUAAUCAAGGUAUGCUUUAUCAAUAAGGUAUGAAAAGACCCUAUAAUUUGUAUGCAAUGUAAUGCUGCUCUUUAGUGGUGUAUGCAAUGAAAUUUGUUUUCACACCUUAUUACCAGUAAUAAGGUCAAAGUGGCAUGCAAAUGCAUGCAAGAUGAUCUUCAUUCAAUAAGAUAAUGCAAAGUCUCACAUUAGAACCCAGACCCUAGGGUUACAACCUCUGAAGAUAGCUUUGACAUUAGAAUAGUUCAACUCCAAAAUUCACCUGACACAAAUGUGAAUGAUCUGAGAUGAUUUAGAGUUAUUCAAAGUAUUUAAAUUGAAUCAAUAUGCUAUAAUGUUGACCAAUUGAUCAAUGCAAUUGAUGAAUCAUAUGCACAACUAUCUCUGCAUACUUUAAACAAAGUAUUCAUGAGCUUGCAAGGCUACAAUGCAAGAAAUCACGAAAGAAAUGGGCCACAAUGCCUACAGGAUACUACGUAUGAAAAAAGAUGCACUAGAGAGUGGAUCAUCAACUACUCCUAACUAACUUGGAAGUGCCACUUAACUUAGUAGAAGAGUGCAUAAUUUACAUGUUUGAAAAUGCUUCAAUGCUUUGUGUGGAAGGGCUAAUGGAUCAGUUCCUACAAUGAGGAAUUUAGAAAAUGAUGUUAGAUAUUUUUGUACAGACAGAAAACAUGUAAAGAUGCCUAUUGUUUUUUUUUUUUUUUUUUUUUGUUAGAAGGCUACUAUUUUUUAUGCCUAGAAAAACAUGUGUGUAGCAACAUAGUCUACUUGUUUAAGGUGUAAAAGAUGAUAUUUUUUUUAAUCCAUUAACUCUACAUGCUUUACAUAUGAAUGCACCAAACAAGCACAAAACAUAAUCCAAACCUCACAUAUGAAGAUAACAGCCAGCCAACAACCACAAAACACAAUCCAAACCUCACAUAUGAAGGAAGAACCGGCCUACAACCACAACACACAAUCCAACAGGGUCAUAACCUUAAAUCAUUGAAAAUUUUCAAAUAAAAUGUAGGCAAAAAUAAUCAUUUCAGCAUAAUUUCAAUACCGACGACAUAGUACUAGCCCACGUACCCCAAAUCGUAACAAUAUAAUCGAGUGUAGGGCAUUCAAGUAUCUCAAAUAUAGUGUGAUAAAAAAAUUAUUAUUUUAAUUUAAUUCAACCUACCUACAAUAAAAAAACAAGUGUAAAAGGAAACUCCUCACAAAUUUGCAGAUUAGGGGUAGCAAGAUUCACAACAUGUAUCACUUGUAGAAGGCUUCGCUCAAACCACCUGCUCCUCAGUCUUGGGGACAUCCAUCCAGCCUUCAUAAGUGCUUGCCCAUAUCGAUUCGUCUACUAUGUCGUCGAGAGAUAUGUUGGACCAUGGUGGCAGUAAGUCGGCGACGAUGAGGUCGCUCAUAUCGUCAUCUAACCCCAAAGAAUCGAGGGUCGUCGAUGGAGGAUCGGAGCUUGUCUUCUUUUUCGUCGUUGCGGCGGACGACGGAUGAUGGAUUUGGGCAGGUUUGCACAGAGAAGGGGUUGCACCGACAGAGAAUUCGAGAGAGAAGUGUAAGAGGCGGUUGUAUUAGAGUGAAGCAAUAAAUUAAAAAU